CAAAAGUGCAGCAAUACCGUGAGGUGGAGCGAAUCACAAAACCCGGUCUCAGUUCAGAUUGCAGGCUGCAACUCGCCUGCAUGAAGUCGGAAUUGCUAGUAAUCGCGAAUCAGAAUGUCGCGGUGAAUACGUUCCCGGGCCUUGUACACACCGCCCGUCAAACCAUGAGAGUUGGCAACACCCGAAGUCGGUAGUCUAACCGCAAGGAGGACGCCGCCGAAGGUGGGGUUGAUGAUUAGGGUUAAGUCGUAACAAGGUAGC
rnacentral:rRNA from 1 species